CGGUCCCCGCCACCGCCCACACGGGUACACACUUCCAUGGGUCUCUGUACAGAGAGGUGUCGAGAACCACCACCACCCACUUCAAGAACUGUGUCACAAGAAAUUCUACCACAUCCCAGGCGAGAGAGCACCAGCCCCCUCAGCCUUCUGUAGCCAGAACAAACGUGGGCGGAGCCUGCAUCCUGGCAGGAGGAUGCCACCCAAGAGGCAGCCGAGUCCUGAGGCAGAAGGCAACAAGAGUCCUGGGUGCCAGUUCCACUCUGCCGUCACCACCUCUGUAAUCAGGUGAAUCUUUCUGAACUUCAGUAUCCACAGCCACAAGGUAAUUCUGGUGUGUGAACCCUGGGAUGACAUCUGGAGUGUGGACAGGACAAUCGGGCUUCAGAGACAACAGAGAGCAAGAAGGAUGCCUUGUGGCUGAAUCUUGAGGAGGGGAGGGGCCUUCCCAGCAAGCAGCCUCAGGAAGGAGGCACCCGUGUUCUGAUGGUGCCGGCUGUGUGAGAACCACCAGUACAAACAAGACUGUUCGACAACCAUCGUUUCAGAUAACCCACCAGUACAAACAACAGAAAACAGCACGCUGUCUCCAAGGGUUGCCUUGCCUUGAUUCUCUAUAAGCCUUUUACUGAAGUAUACACAUGUGAUAAGAACAGGCCUCUGGGUUCAAUCCCCAGUACCACAAGGAAAUAAAGUGUGUCUUUUAAAGGAAGGAGGAAAAAAGAAAG